rnacentral:lncRNA from 1 species
UUGAUUAAUAAGGUGGUAAUUUGAUAUAAUGCUUUGGUUAUGGGUGAAAUGUGCAAAGUUUACAAAAUAAGCAAGUGGUUAUAAAAUAUUCAUUAUUGUCGGGGAAUAUUCGUUUGGUCGUGGAAUAUUCUUUUGUCGGGAAUCUCCGUACGACGGCGCAGUCAUUUGUGGGCCCCAUAACGGAAAACAGAUGGAUGAAAGAAAACGACAAAGAUUGAGUUUUAUAAAUAACGG